GCCCCGCCCUCCUCGUUUGGCGCCAAACCCUGUGAUCAAAGGCGCGCGGGUCUCCAGGCUCCGUGUUCUGGGCCCGAGUUAGAAUCCUGUCAGCUGAGGAGGUCGGGCGGGGCAGACGGGCUUCACCUUGAAAAUCUCGGGGAGACUGUGGGUACGAGGGGGGGUCCAACCCCUGACUUUGGUAUCAAAUGAGGAAAUGGAAUCGACCAAGAAAAAUAAUUAUUUGGACCGCAUUUUAUUGUAAUAAACACAAUCACGCCUUGUG
rnacentral:sRNA from 1 species